CUUCUAAGUCGUGGGCCGCAGGUUCGAAUCCUGCAGGGCGCGCCA
rnacentral:tRNA from 4 species